GCGAUGGACCACCACAAAACACGCUGGUUCGUGCUCUCGCUCGUCAUGCGGAAACGCUCCUCACGGUACUGUGGAAAAACAAUCUUCUGUCAGCCCCUCCAGGAUUUAGCCAAAUCAAUCGUACCAGUUUUCCACCUGCAAACAGUGCCAUCUUGGUGGAGUUGGAGUGGAGGCAGAUUUGAUGCUCUCCUGGUGUGUGUGAGGUGAAGGUAAAACGACCAUCAGAGCCAUACUGACGGGACAGGAUAACCUGAAAUAAAAACAAAGCAAAAACUACCUCAGGGUUCUUGCACAUUUUUACUACUUAAACUCCAUGACUUUUCCAUGAUUUUUCCAAGACUUUCAAGUAAAUUUUCAUGACCUAAUGUUUCAUGCAAUGUCUACAUACGCGAGGUAAAAGAAAAACAAUGACUGUUCAAAUUUAUUACAGCAUAUCGUAAAACACGCACAACAAUCUAUUUAGUUUCAAUUUAUAUUUAAAUCUAUGAAAACUGAUUUAGAUAAUGCUUACACCGCACUAAAAAUGUGAAUCAGAUUUAUUGCCAGGUGUGUUCGCACAUACGAGGAAUUUGUUUUCGUGGCAGAGCUUCUACAGGGCAACAGAAUUACAGAGACAGGACCAAAAAAACACAAAUAAUAAAUAUAUGAAAACGCAGUAAGUAGUGAAUGCAAAUAUACAAAUAGACAAGUGUAUGUAGAGCUUUAUUACUAUAUACAAUGUUAUACGUGCAGCUGUUAAGUGCAAGUUGUCAUGGAAAGUGUGUUGUUAAAUAAGUGUAUAUGUGUAUAAAAGUGGAUGAGUGAGAGUAUGUGAUUGGCCAAGGACAGAAAAGAAGUAAAUAACCUAUAUUCAAGUAUA